UACGAGUGUCGUUCAACGAUCGAUGCGAUAAAUGUCGAAAGCAUCGAUAAUAAGUAUUUUUGGUAUUAUGUAUCUUCAUCGACAGAGUUUCUUGUUAUUGUGAACAGCGAACUUUGGGAUUGUGAAUAAAAACUAAAUUUUGACAUUUGAGUAAAUUUCAGUGAUAAUUCAUGUAGAAAAAUUGUUUAAUAAUUUAAUAUAGUUAGCAUGAUUUCCAGCGAGUUUUUCUUUGAUUCAGACGACGAUGAAAUAGCAAGCGAAAGGAUGAACAGGAAUAGAAGUUAUGACCUGUUGGUGAUUGCCAGAAAUAGAAGGCAUUUGAGGGACGCUUCGAACCCUCUGGAACUUGAAGAAAAUAUAUUUUUGAAACACUUCAGGCUAUCAAAGCCAGCUUUUGUCCAAUUACUUGCUGACAUUGAUAACCAUCUAAGGCCAGCAAAGCGAAUAACUUCGAUUCCAAGCAUUAUAAAAUUAGCUACCGCACUACGAUUCUGCGCCCAUGGUUCAUACCAAUUUAGUGUUGGCAACGAAUAUUGCCUGGGACUUGCACAGUCGACCGUAUCCGUCGUGCUAAA